rnacentral:lncRNA from 1 species
AUUUCGGAUGCUGCCUCCAUUGAGAAUGCACUGGGGGGAACCGCUCUUGGCUUCAAUAGCAUCUAGCUUCGCUGAGAUGCCCAGGCCAAUGCUGAAGUCCACAAGGAUUAACUUUAUAUUGGGUGUGUAAAUAGCCCUUCACCUAGUCACCAGUGGUGAGUACAAAUCCUCCCCAAGUGAGCAGCAAGGAAUCUUCUGUAAAUUGGAAAAAGAACUGGUUUCUUUAUAUUUCCACUUAGACUGUCAGUAUGCCACAUAUAAAUAAUACAGGUAUAUGGGGACAGGUGGAGAGGUAAACUUGCAGACUAGAAACUUUUUUGAACUUAUAUGCAAGGCAACAGAAAUCCUCAAGCUACUUGUAGCUGUGAGAGUGCAUAUAGUGGGUACCAUCAAUGCAGCUGUGAUGACAUCCUCUGCAUGAGUACACCCUGCUCUGGUACAAGGAAACACUUUCUCCUCCUCUGCUUCCUCCUUAUCUGUUUUCCAGAUAUGCUAUUUCAUCAUCAUUUCUCUCUUGCUAGGACUCACUCUAUGUUCUUGUAAUUUGUCAUUUCUGUAAUUUGUUUUACAGGAUUUUAAAACUGUAUAUAUAUAUUUUUGUAACCUGCUGUCAAGGCUGCCUCAAGUCUUAGCUCACAAAAGACCAACGCCUAUGUCUUCUUAUAUACAAAGGUGUUUAUUGCAGUUCAUGGUUUGCUUGACAUCCUAGGCGCGCAGCCUUACGUCUCUUACGCUAGACCGCUGAAGUCCCCUCUGAGUCAGUCCCUCCCCUGCACCAAUUUAAGAGACUUGCGCUGCUCCACCUCUUUCUCUCCUUCCUUUUCCGCAGGGUCCUUCUGCCCACUGGGGUUUCGCCCCUCCUGGAUUCCUCUGACGCGGAAUCAGACUGCUCUUCAGCCCUCCUGCGGGCUUUGGGACCUGGCCCCUCCUCCGGGCUCCCUGCACUUCCGCGCGCCUCUACAUUUGAACUAGGCGCGCGCGCCAAACCUCUAACUUUCCUUUUGACAGUUACACUACUCCCUUCACUGCUCCCCUCCUCUUCCGGGAGGGCGGCUUGCUCUGACCCCCUCCUUUCUCUGCUGCUGGAGCUGCUUCCUCUGACACACUGGAAACUCCACCCCUUCGCUGCACUCUGGUGGGGAGGCUGGUCCUGACGCCCAGCUGCCACUUUGGGAUCCUCCGCUGGCACCCUGCUCCUGACACUUCCCCCUGGGGCUCCCUGGCCUUGACCACCGGCGCCCCCUUCUGGGAAUCCUCUGAUUCGCUGGAAAGACUCAUGGAAUCUCUUGAGUCAUUGUCAUCCUCUUCCUCGCUGGCUUGGAAUUCCUCCCCAUCGCUCUCCAUCUCCUGCCUACCCUGUGCCUCUCUCCCUGAACCCCUGACACCUGCCCUUAUGAGGGUGGAUGGGUAAGAAAGAUAAUCAAUAUUGCUACACGCCACCCUAGUCUCCCAGCAGUGUGAGCUUCCAGGCAUGCUUACCCAGGGUUUGUGUUUCCUUUCAGGAAUGAGGCACAGAGGAGACUGUGGUGUCUUUAUGAUAUAAGGUUUAUUUAUACAUAUAUACAACCUGAGCCCAUGAUGGAGGGAUUCACAGCAUUAAGAGGGUCUUGUUUCUCCUAUAGCUGCAGCUUUGGAUUCAAUCAACCAUUGUGUUCUGAUUCUCUCUCCAGCCUUUCCCAGCCUGCAACUUUUUCCUCCUCUAGGUUACAUCACAGCCACCUCUCAUCUCUACUUCAGACUCUGGCUUUGUCUUCUAACUGACUCUGAGAUGGCCCUACCCACUGAUCAUCUGGGCCACAGCCUUUGCUUUCUUAAUGGCCCAUUACCUUUCCUUUGUUUUCUUAAUGACCCAGGCAAUCUCCUGAACAUGGGAAGCUGGGUCCAGGGAUUAGGAGUUUUGAAUCCAGUUUAACACACACAAACCUUGAUUAAAAUCUAAAACUUACUGGACCCAGGAAUUUAGGGGUCAUAAGAAUACUAUUAAGAAUCACCAUUGUAUACAGGACUUUAGUACUGUAUGCUGCCUCUUCCUCCUCCCAACCCGGCCAUUCCUGCCAUUAACUCUAAAUCACCUCUUUCUCACCUGGACUAUGAGUAUGGUUUGGUAAAACUGAUUUUGACUCUGUUUGAUGCCUUGGAUCCAGAUCACUCAAACAAUUUCCUGAUUGCCUACAAUCUGCUUUCCAUACUGACCUCUGCCCCUUGGCUAUGCUGACAUUGCUAGUUUUGAACUGCCUGUGCAUACAUGAACAAUCCAUUAUACGGUCACUAAGCCGAAAGCCGGCCUAGUGACCUACAAUGCCAUUGGUUGAUAUAUAGUGCUGAUGCUUAAAAAUUGGCAUUAGGAAAGUAAUAGACUUGGAGGAAAACUCCAAUGAAUAUCAGUAAAGAGAACAUGAAGUUUCCCCUAUCAGAAUCUGCACACUUGAAGUUUAAAGACCUAACACAAAUAUGAAUUCUACCUUCUAAAACUGCUAUUUUUCUACUGUGCAAUUUUGAAAAUUGUGGUUGCCAGAAUGGUAGCGUUGACCCAAAUGGUGGAACACAUAACAUAGUCUACAGUGCCAGUGCAACAGCCACAGUUUGUGACAUUGCUUUGGCACUUUGGUCAUUGUGCUUUAUCUAACCUGCUGUUUUCCCCGGGAGCAGCUUGUAGGGCUGGAAAAUAAUGGAAGUAAAUUUGAUUUAAGUUGUGUGAGCAAGCAUAUUGAACAGGCUAGUAGUUUUGUGUGCUUUUGACUAGGUUUAUUUUAGUGGUGUUUUCAGUGCAUACUUAACACUGUCAUUUAAGCAGGGCAAGUGCAUUUGCUGAUCCUCCUGAGCCAUGGUAGGUUUUGCAAUUAGGAUCACUAACGCUUUCCAGCGCCACUAAUGUUCAAAGAAAAUUGCAAAUAAUCUGGAUGCAAUUAUUGGGUUGGCACAGGAACUAUGAUAGGGGGAUUACACACUGCUUUUUCUUAAACACUUUAGCACAAUAAGAUCUUCAGUUAUGUUACCACUUUAUUCAUUGGGGGUUUUUUAUAUUAAAAAACUAAAAAGACCCACCAAGGAAGAUGUCACCAGACAAUUCUCACCAUUGACUCAGAAGGCUCCUUAGUUCUUUGUAUCAGAGUUUUAGCCAGAGAACUACAACACGGUUAAGCCAGGGUAAUUAGUGUUAAGAUGAUGAGCAUCAGGCCAAUUCAUAACUUUUUAAAGUGUAUAGGAAGUCGAAUCCAGAGAUCAUUUCCAGACUUCAGAGAAACUGGUCUAUCUGAAUUUUCAAAGAAAAGAUAAGUACAGUGGUACUUCUGGUUCCGAACUUAAUUUGUUCCAGAGGUCUGUUCUUAAGCUGAAACCGUUCUUAUCCUGAGGUGCACUUUCACUAAUGGGGCCUGCCUCUGGCACGCGAUUUCCAUUUGCAUCUUGGGGCAAAGUUCACAACCAGGAGCAGUUACUUCCGGGUUAGCGGAGCUCAUAACCUGAAGCGUUCGUAACCAGAGGUACCACUGUAACAAGAUUCCAGUUUAAGAAGGGACACUCUAGGACAGUGUUGGGGGAUCUAUGGCUUACUAAAUGUGGUUGGUUCCCAUAAUCUCUGACCAUUGACCAUACUGGCUGGGGUUGAUGGGAUCUGAAGUCCAACAACAUUCUCCUACCCUGCUAGAGAGGCCACUGAAGCUCCCUCCAAGUGGUGUGAUGGCGAGAGGUGUAGCCCAAGUCUAUGCAUCUUCUACAUGAGUAAAUUCUAUGGUGUGUCAUGGGACUUACUUUCAGGAAAGAGAACAUCAGGGCUCCUGCCAUGUGUGCCAGCACAUAAUACACCUAGAGCUCCCACAUAAAGACCAGAACUCAGGUACAUCUGAUGUAGCUGCUGUGUUGGUGGUGGGAGGAAUUAAACAUAUGAUGCUGUUGCUAGAAAAUAGUUACUAUGUUGACACAUCCUCUUAACCAAAAGAUGAUGUAUAAGAAGCAACCAGCUUUACGAGAAUUGUCCGUGCUUUUGUUCCACACAUUUUUGAGAAAGAUGAAGAUGAACUGGAAAGAAUUCCGAGGACAACAUGGAUGAUAAAAGAUUCAGAAUGCCAGACCUCUGAGGAAAGGUUGGAAGAAAUGGGAAUGUUUAGUCUCAAGAGCAGAGAGCUGAAAGAGAACAUGGCCACGGUCUUUAGUUAUGUAAAAAUCUGGAAUGAAAUGAUGCAAAAAUACAAUUGUUCUGCUUGGCCUCUUAGGAGAGGGCAAGCUGGAUUUAUGGUAUAGGAAGAACAACUUGGGCAGCAGCUCAGGAACUGUAACAGCCUUACCAGGAACAGAUAGGCAACAAAAUAAAUUGCCCGUGGGAGCUUGGGGAAUCUCCCUUAUUGGGCUCUUUUGAAAAAAUCAGGUUAAAUAAGCAUAUGGCAAGACUUUUCCCAGAACAAUUAAUCUUGCCAUAGCAUAAAUCAUAGGCAGCAUAUAAUGGCAUAUAAUGUUCUCUCUCAUAUGCACACUUAACCUGGGGGUAUAUCCCAUUGAAAUGAGCAGACUGACUUUUGAGUGGAUGUGUAGAAUUGUGUUCUAAGGCUCUUCAUAAUUCAAUGGAACCUCCUUCUGGGCAGAUAUGUAUAGGACUGCAUAGUAAAUUAAGCCCUUUUCAGGCAUCAAAUGAAUGAGUGAGGACUCCAGUCGAAUAGGGGCAUGGGACAGGUGGGGGAAACACACCUGUGCCCCAACGUUACUGUGUUCACCUCCCCAUCCCCUUCUCUUUUCUGUGUGAGCAUGAAAAUCUGCAGAAAAUCCUAAAGGACCUAACCACAUUCAGCUUAACAGGUUCCUGGUUGCAGGAAAGAUUCUAACCAUGGUUCAAUGGAACACAGUUCCAGUCUCCCUUCAGACUUUCACACCGAAUGCACAAAGCUUGGGAGAGGGAAGACAGUGAGACUUGGGGGGCAGGUGGGCAGGGGAACUACACCUUCCUGAGCAAAACAUUAGACCUGUCUAAAAUAGUCACAAGCACAAGGAAACAGAGGGUGUGAUUUAAGCAGAAAAUGACCGUAGCUCUAGAUGAGCUUGUAACGUUCCUGCAAGCCAAAUGACCAUAUACAGAUUUUAUUUUUGAGCAUGUUCAUAGCUAUGCUGCCACCAGUGAUCUGCUCUUAUUGAUAAAUAUUUUCCAGGUGAUAUAUUUCACAAAGUCCACAGGAAGUUAAAUUGGGACGAAUUAAUAAUUUAUCGAGCCAAGUGUACUGUCUCUGAGGGCCAAAGUACAGUACAAGCUGUUCUUAGUGUGUAAAGUGCCUCUUGCCUUUCUCUUUUACUUAACUGCAAGCAAUUGCACCAAUAAAUGGGAGGGAGCAAUUGCUCUUAGGCUUAACUUCACAGGCACCGCCAGAGAUGGCUCCAAGAUUUGAAAGGCCCACCCUCAGUGUAUUGACUUCUUCAUCACCAUUCUCACAGCAGGCGGCUGCUCUUCCUCAUCCUUGCCACCACCUGUUUGCUUGCCAGGUGGAGUGCCAAUGAGGAAGUCAGAAAGGCCACCUGCCACUCCUCCUUCUCACCACUGCUGGUCCAGAGGGAGACAUGAGUGAACAAGCAGGUUGCAACGGAGAAGAGAGAAGAAGCAAGUACUGGGGGCUCUUGCCCCUGCCCACCUCCUUUCUUUACCUUGAAACUAGAGUGCUUGUAAAAUAGAGGACACCUAAACAGGAAUUUCCUCUAUAAAGUAGUCAUGGCUUUCCUAGAUGAUGAAGAUAAUUUAUUACCCUUCCUUCACCCCAGGGCCUGCUGGCUUGGUCCUGGGACAGUGGGUCUCCAGGGCCGUGUACACAUGUGUGUCUGAUGUCAGUACACCUACAGGUGCAUUUUUGAGAGGGGGUGUGACUAGGUGCCCCUCAUUCCCUCACUGGAGCCUGGCUCUGGCGUGCAAGUGGAGCUCCGCUCACGGGUCAAGUCUGACCCGGAGGCGGAUUGGAGGAGAGGCGGCAGCAGCAGCAGUGGUGUAGGAAGGGGGCUGGUGGGGGCGGUCUGCCCCGGUGUCAUCUCUGAGGGGGGGGUGACAAAAUCCCUCCUUGGUGGGUCGCCGCACCCCUGGGUGCCGAUUGCCAUGUCAAUCGCCCCCAAUGGGCAACAGUUGCCUCCAAUGGGUGCCAGCCAUAGGCUCCCGCUGUCCGCCCGCUGCCUCCACCCCAGCUGUAGGGUGGAUGAGGCCCAUGGCAUGCCCCAUCUCUAUGGGUGCCGUGCACCCCGUCCCUCCCUAAGGGCGCCUAUGUGUGCCCCGCCCCUAUGGGUGCCGCAUGCCCUGCCCCUAUGCGUGGUUCUCCUUGCCCCUGGGCGCGCUGCCCCAGGUGCCCAAGGGGCUUCCUCCGCUGCUGAGCAUUACUGCCCCUCUCCUACGCUGGGGUGCCCACGUGAGGGAGCAGCCAGCUCCUUCACACCCAGUCUCAGCACCGCUCCUGGGUCAGGUUUGACCUGAGAGGCAGAGAGAGGAAGGAAAGUCAUGGCAGCAUUGCCGCUCUUCUCCUCAGCUGGACCCGCAUAAAAAUUUGUGGGUGCCCUGCCCCUUCAUGGGGAAUGUUGUGGGGGCUGGAGCACCCACAGCCCCUCACACUUGGUGCCUAUGCUUCUCCCUAAGGUCCUAGGCUAGGGAAUAAGAAUGGUUUAAAACAACUGACACUCACAGAAAUGAGGUGAGCCUUGAAAAUAUACACCUCAAGGACCAGGGCGAAGUAGUGCAUAUUCAGCACACACUGGAAGCUGUAUAAUGAAGGUUCCAGACACACCUCUGUAGGAAUUCCACAACUUUGGCGGUUGCCACAGAGAAUGCCCACUUCUGGGCUGCAAGCCCCCAAACUUUUGAGGGUGAUGAAACAGCCAAGAGAGCCUCCUUCUGCCAAUCUUAGCACCAGAGAGGGUCUGUUGGGAUGGAGGUGGUCUUACAGGUAUGAGGGGUAGCUCCAACUGGUGGUGAUGAGUUGUGGUGGAACAAGCCUGCUGCUCAGACAUUUGAUAAGCAAUGGAAUCAUGGAGUUCACUUUUCCAAAUCUUACCUGCUCUACUUUAUGAACCUACCUAUGAUAUUUGGAAAUACCUUUUAAAAUAAGGGGAUUCUGCUUUCUGGUGUGACUAGGAAUGGAGACUUACACAUCUCUUACUUGCACAGUUUGCAUGAGUACUGUUCAACAUCUAUGGGUCUGUGGGGGGAAGGAGGUGGGGUUUGGGAAGCAGAGGGCAACUGAGCAAUGGAGGCCUGGAAAAAGAGUGUGAGCAGAAUGCCAAAAAGCAUUGUUGAGCAGAAUCCAUUCCAUUCCAUUAGCCAAAGAAGCUGAAAGCCCCCUUCCCCCAGCCCCCCACCAAAUACACUUUUUAAAAUUACAUUUUGAGUAGUUUCCCAAAACUCUUAACACAAGAGAGUGGCGGAUGGGUGAAACAGAGCCUUGAGAAAUCACACUUUUCUUUUAGCUUGACAAAUCCCAGAACCUUUUGCAUUUUUAAACCUUUUAAAAUUUCUUUUUGGCUCCUUUUUAAAAUAAAAAAAUAAUGAUGAUAUAACCAGACUGCCUAAAAAUAAGCAGUAGCGUUUUUUCCUUUACAGAUGGGAGAAACCUGCCAAAAAAGAAGUGCGGGGUUUUGAUUUCUGCAGCGUGUUUCUAAUACUUCCAACACUGAACCCAGAACUUAUUCAUUUUCUGCUUCCUCCAAGAAAUCAUCUCAGUGAAGGGAUAGUGGGAAUGGGUGGUUUUGUGUCAGUAACAACAACAACAACAACAAAAAGACGUCUCUCUCUGCUCUCUGUACUUUAAUCUCGUUGCACUCAGAAAUUGCACUCAGAAAUUCCCAACACCAUUUACUAAGAAAUAGAAAGCCAUGUCCAAAGUAUCUCUCUCAGACAGCGGAUGUUCCUGAUAAGAAACUCUGGGAAGGCAGUGGCUCCAUUCAGGCUGGCAAAUGCGGAUGAUCAAAUUCACCUCUCUGUAUGGUGCUGGAGGAGACUCUUGGGAGUCCCAUGGACUGCAAGAAGAUCAAACCUAUCCAUUAUGAAGGAAAUCAGCCCUGAGUGCUCACUGGAAGGACAGAUCCUGAAGCUGAGGCUCCAAUACUUUGGCCACCUCAUGAGAAGACUCCCUGGAAAAGACCCUGAUGUUGGGAAAGAUGGA